UGUAAUCGGUUUGAGAGGGGUGGGAUAAACCUUUCUAUAAACCGAACAAAAUUAAAAUCCUGCCAUGUAAACACUUUAAACCGAUUACUUUGCGUCUACGUCAUCACGUCCAGAGGUCGGGUCGUCAGAACGUGAACGUGAUGAUGUCGGCAACGGUACAUUCUGUGAUUUGGGGACACCGACACUACAGUAGAGACUGGGUAAUAGUGGAGAUACAUCUGUUUCUUGCUGUUGUCUCUGGAGAUGGUGAAGCGUCCCUGAACAGACUGAGAGUAGUAUAUAUAACUACUACCACCAGAGAUGUAUGCCAGCCACUCCAGACCUCCUCCUGCAGUCUGUCUGAUCCAAGCUAAGUCUGGGUCACCACUAAAUCCAGAGACUGUACAGAUCUUCAGGAAACAGGAAGGAGGAAGUCAAGUGAUGUCAUCAGUGUGAUUUUUAUUUCAAAAUAAAUAAUUUUUGUUAAUCGGUAACACCAGUGACAACUCCAGGGGACCACCGCUUUUAUUAUAUAUUUUAUAAUAUUUAUUUUACAUUUUGUAUUUGUAUGUCAUUUACAUCAUAUAUUUGAUAGUUAUGAAUACAUUAUUGUAUUUUAAAUGGAAGAAAAACCUGUUUUUGAACUCUAAAUAAAGCACUUUCCCGCUGUACAUGGCUGUGGGGACGAGCAGUUUUGUGGUGCUUGGAAUUCUUUAUAAUUAAUUUAAAACAAAUAUUGCCACAUUGAUGGUUUAAGAAGGUGUAAUUGUUCAAAUAACACAUCGUUUUAUUUUAAAAUAUAAAAAUUUUAUAUUUUUUAUAGUGUAAUAUUUCUGUGAAGGCUAGGGACAGAAAAAUGGACAUUUCCAUAGAAUGACCCGUUGUCUCUGGAGAUGGUGAAUCGUCCUUCAACAGUUUUAGAGUAACAUUUGUCACGGCCACUUGGAGCAGAAAUAUUUGAGAUCCACUCGAGCGCUUUCUGUCUCAUCCAUGAAAUAUCUGCAGCUCCAACAUCAAUCCCAGAGAAGGUACAGGUCAGUUUAUGAUUGUUCCCUGGUUUGAUGACGACUGACUCAGACUCAGUCAGUGUUUGACCUUUGAACUCUGUUAAAAUAAAAGUCAGACCGUUGUCUACAGUAGUCAAUAAUAAAGUAGUGUAAAAAUGUAUUCCUAUAUUAUAUUUACUGUCCAUAACUACGAUUAUGCUUAUUAAACAUAAUUCUGAGGACCAUUUUUGCAGCAGUUUUUGUUAAAAAAUCUCACUGACAGAAUACUGAGGAGAUAAAUACGGAGGGUUUAUAAGACAGAAGGUACAAUUAAUUUGCAUUGUCCAUCCCCCGGCUGA